UGGGGAAUAUUGCACAAAGGGCGCAAGCCUGAUGCAGCGACGCCGCGUGCGGGAUGGAGGCCUUCGGGUUGUAAACCGCUUUUGUUCAAGGGCAAGGCAGGCUUUCGGGCCUGUUGAGUGGAUUGUUCGAAUAAGCACCGGCUAACUACGUGCC
rnacentral:rRNA from 1 species